UGCGUAGGCGGUUUAUUAAGUCAGAUGUGAAAGCCCCGGGCUUAACCUGGGAACUGCAUUUGAUACUGGUAGACUAGAGUAUGGUAGAGGGGGGUAGAAUUCCUAGUGUAGCGGUGAAAUGCGUAGAUAUUAGGAGGAAUACCAGUGGCGAAGGCGGCCCCCUGGACCAAUACUGACGCUGAGGUACGAAAGCGUGGGUAGCGAACA
rnacentral:rRNA from 1 species